rnacentral:rRNA from 1 species
UACGUAGGGCGCAAGCGUUGUCCGGAAUUAUUGGGCGUAAAGAGCUCGUAGGCGGUUUGUCGCGUCUGUCGUGAAAGCCCACGGCUUAACCGUGGGUCUGCGGUGGAUACGGGCAGACUAGAGGCAGGAGAGGGUAGUGGAAUUCCCGGUGUAGUGGUGAAAUGCGUAGAUAUCGGGAGGAACACCAGUGGCGAAGGCGACUUCUUGGCCUGUUCUUGACGCUGAGGCGCGAAAGCUGGGGGAGCAAACGGGG